GAUGAAGAACGUAGCGAAAUGCGAUAAGUAAUAUGAAUUGCAGAAUUCAGUGAAUCAUCGAGUUUUUGAACGCAUAUUGCGCCCUCUGGUAUUCCGGGGGGCAUGCCUGUUCGAGCGUCAUUAAAUAACCCUCAAGCAUAGCUUGGUGUUGGGCUUUUUUACGUCCUUGACUGGGAUGGGCCUAAAAAUUAGUGGCGAUGGCUUUUUUACUUUCAAGCGUAGUAAAUCUCGUCUUGCUAAAGAGGAAAAAGAUUUUUUUUCUGCCAAAAAUUUUAACAUUUAAAGUUGACCUCGGAUCAGGUAGGAUUACCCGCUGAACUUAAGCAUAUCAAUAAGCGGAGGA
rnacentral:misc_RNA from 1 species